UACGAAGGGGGCUAGCGUUGUUCGGAAUUACUGGGCGUAAAGCGCACGUAGGCGGACAUUUAAGUCAGGGGUGAAAUCCUGGAGCUCAACUCCAGAACUGCCUUUGAUACUGGGGAGCUCGAGUCCGGAAGAGGUGAGUGGAACUCCGAGUGUAGAGGUGAAAUUCGUAGAUAUUCGGAAGAACACCAGUGGCGAAGGCGGCUCACUGGUCCGGUACUGACGCUGAGGCGCGAAAGCCAGGGGAGCGGAACGGG
rnacentral:rRNA from 1 species